CAGGAUGUUGGCUUAGAAGCAGCCACUCAUUCAAAGAGUGCGUAAUAGCUCACUGGUCGAGUGAUCCUGCGCCGAAGAUUUCCGGGGCUAAAACUUACUACCGAAGCUACGGCAUCAUUAUGAUGGGUAGGGGAGCUUCCCAUACGGGUUGAAGCAUGACCGUAAGGACAUGUGGACAGUAUGGGAGUGAGAAUGUUGGCAUGAGUAGCGAGAUGUGGGUGAGAAUCCCACAGGCCGUAAACCCAAGGUUUCCAGGGGAAGGUUCGUCCGCCCUGGGUUAGUCGGGACCUAAGCUGAGGCCGAAAGGCGUAGGUGAUGGACAACAGGUUGAUAUUCCUGUACUACCGAUAACCGUUUGAGAGAUGGGAUGACACAGUAGGAUAAGCUAAGCACACUGUUGGUUAUGUGUGCCCAAGCAUUGAGGCAGUCAGAGUAGGUAAAUCCGCUUUGAUAAUGCUGGGAUG
rnacentral:rRNA from 1 species